AUUAUCUUACUCUAUUGCAAUGAGGCAUGUUUAAUAACCUGUUCGAGCAACCAGUGAAGGGCAAGCCUGGUGCCAGCAGCCGCGGUAAUUCCAGCUUCACGAGUGUAUAUUUAAGUUGUUGCAGUUAAAAAGCUCGUAGUUGAACUUCUUUUUGUUCAGAAGGCGUGCAAGCGCAGUCUGGGCGAAAAUCCGCCUGAAAAAUCAUUCGGGUCUUCACUGAUUCAGUGAUGGAUCAGGCAUUUUACUUUGAAAAAAUUAGAGUGUUCAAAGCAGGCUCACGCCUGAAUACAUUAGCAUGGAAUAAUAGAAUAGGACGCUGUUCAAUUUGUUGGUUAUUGAAUUGCGUAAUGAUUAAUAGGGACAGUUGGGGGCAUUUGUAUUUAAUUGUCAGAGGUGAAAUUCUUGGAUUUAUUAAAGACAAACUUAUGCGAAAGCAUUUGCCAAGGAUGUUUUCAUUAAUCAAGAACGAAAGUUAGAGGAUCAAAGACGAUCAGAUACCGUCCUAGUUUUAACUAUAAACUAUGCCGACUCGGUCUCAGUCAAGUCUUCCUAACUUGAUUGGUGCCGUAUGAGAAAUCAAAGUCUUUGGGUUCCGGGGGGAGUAUGGUCGCAAGGUUGAAACUUAAAGGAAUAGACGGAACAUCACUACCAGGUGUGGAUCCUGCGGCUUAAUUUGACCCAACACGGGGAAACUUACCAGCGCAAAACAAGGGUGGGAUUGACAGAUUGAGAGCUCUUUCUUGAUUCUUUGGAUAGUGGUGCAUGGCCGUUCUUAGUUGGUGGAGUGAUUUGUCUGCUUAAUUGCGUUAACGAACGAGACCUCAACCUACUUACUAGACGCGUGAUUAAUUCAUCGCGUGUUCUUCUUAGAGGGACUGUGCGGAGACAAACGCAAGGAAGUUUGAGGCAAUAACAGGUCUGUGAUGCCCUUAGAUGUGCUGGGCCGCACGCGGGAUACAAUGACCCGUUCAGAAAGUAUAACCUGACCCGGAAGGGAGUGGGUAAUCUUUUUAAUGCGGGUCGUGCUAGGGAUCGGUCUUUGCAAUUAUAGAUCUUGAACGAGGAAUACCUAGUAAGUGCAAGUCAUCAGCUUGUACUGAUUACGUCCCUGGUGUUUGUACUCACCGCCCGUCGCUCCUACCAAUUUCGAAUGAUCCGGUGAACCUUUUGGAUUGGGUGCAAGCCUAAGAAGUUAAGUAAACCUUAUCAUUUAGAGGAAGGAGAAGUC
rnacentral:rRNA from 1 species